rnacentral:rRNA from 1 species
UAACUGGAGGACCGAACCGACUAAUGUUGAAAAAUUAGCGGAUGACCUGUGGCUGGGGGUGAAAGGCCAAUCAAACCGGGAGAUAGCUGGUUCUCCCCGAAAGCUAUUUAGGUAGCGCCUCGUGAAUUCAUCUCCGGGGGUAGAGCACUGUUUCGGCUAGGGGGCCAUCCCGGCUUACCAACCCGAUGCAAACUGCGAAUACCGGAGAAUGUUAUCACGGGAGACACACGGCGGGUGCUAACGUCCGUCGUGAAGAGGGAAACAACCCAGACCGCCAGCUAAGGUCCCAAAGUCAUGGUUAAGUGGGAAACGAUGUGGGAAGGCCCAGACAGCCAGGAUGUUGGCUUAGAAGCAGCCAUCAUUUAAAGAAAGCGUAAUAGCUCACUGGUCGAGUCGGCCUGCGCGGAAGAUGUAACGGGGCUAAACCAUGCACCGAAGCUGCGGCAGCGACA